rnacentral:rRNA from 1 species
UGAGGGAAAGAUGAAAAGCACUUGGAAAGAGAGUUAAACAGUACGUGAAAUUGUUGAAAGGGAAACGAUUGAAGUCAGUCAUGCUUUCCGAGACUCAGCCGGUUCUGCCGGUGUACUUCUCGGUUUGCAGGCCAGCAUCAGUUUUGGGCGGUGGAAAAGGUUGGCGGGAAUGUGGCAUCCUCGGAUGUGUUAUAGCCCGCUUUCGAAUACAUCGCCCGGGACUGAGGAACGCAGCACGCCUCUUGUAGGUCGGUCUUCGGACACGUCCGUGCUUAGGAUGCUGGCAUAAUGGCUUUAAAC